UACGUAGGGUGCAAGCGUUGUCCGGAAUUAUUGGGCGUAAAGAGCUCGUAGGCGGUUCGUCGCGUCGGCUGUGAAAUCCCGAGGCUCAACCUUGGGUCUGCAGUCGAUACGGGCGGACUGGAGUUCGGCAGGGGAGACUGGAAUUCCUGGUGUAGCGGUGAAAUGCGCAGAUAUCAGGAGGAACACCGGUGGCGAAGGCGGGUCUCUGGGCCGAUACUGACGCUGAGGAGCGAAAGCGUGGGGAGCGAACAGG
rnacentral:rRNA from 1 species